CGGAGGUCUGUCCUAGCCACUUUUAAGGCUUCUGCAUGUUGUUAUCUGUUUCAGCAAUUCUCUAACUUCAAACUCAAAGAAUCCACAGAGAAAAGUGACAGUGAUAAAGGACAAGAGAUGAUUUCUCAAGUGAUGGACAAUGUAAAGCCUUGGUCUUAAGAGAUAGGCUAUUGGGCAGUUGCUGGUCCUUUAAAAAAAAAAAAAAUCACAGAAUUACACAGAAUUUCAGGGGUUGGAAGGGACAUUUGGGUAUCAUUGAGUCCAACUCCUGGAUAAAGCAGGUUCCCUACAGUAGGUUGCACAGGAAAGAAGAAGAAAAAUAAGAAGAUGAAGAAAAAGAAAGGAAAUUGAAAUUGUUUAAAGAUGAGAGGUUACUGCCUUGUUCAGGAUCCUACUGCAAACAAAGAUACAUAGAUCUGAAAGGUACCUCCAUAUGAGGACGUAGUCUUUGUGGCCACAGUACUUCAAAAUGUCCCAGGGUGAUCGUGAGUGGAGACAGCAAGAAAAAUUUCACAUUCCAGUUACUGAAUCUGAACUACCUACAAUCUGAAUACGCAGUAUCUCAUAUGUAAUUUAGAAGAUAACUUCUAUGAAACCCCUUGCAAGAAAGAAAAAAUUAAAAAAUAAGUAAAAUAAAGGGGUUUUUUAGUAUAUUUGAAAAAGACCUAGUUAAUUUCUUAAAAAAUUGGAACUCUAGGAAUAGUAAAGAAUGCAGCGAUUUUGUAGUACUGGAGAAUAUAAUUAUUUCUUAGUUGAUUGAUGACCUAUUGUACCACAGAAACUGAGAAGUAUUUUCUUAUCAUUAACAGACCUAAGCUAAAAAUCCCACUGUCUGGCAGAGCACAACCCCUAAACCAAGGGAGUGACCUAUUGACUGAAGAGCAGCAGCAAAACUAACCAGUCUGCUAGCCCAGUUAAUUUCUCUUACACACCUCCCUUUUGCAGGAUCUAAGUACUAGAAACUUCAAAUACAAUCCCCAAAUCAAAACAUCUGCUGCUUUCCAUUUCCACUAUAAAUUUGCUUACAAACAUCCCUCCCAUGUAUUUGUGCAGUCUUUAACUCCUGUUACGUGUGCAAUAUUUCCCCUUAAAAAACACUGGAGUACAAACAAGAAUUUUUCAUCAUUUCUAGUGAUUUGGGGGUGGUAACCAUGACUUCUGCUAACUACUGUGCCCAUAGGAAUACCCUGUGGUGGGUACUGUUCAUAUUUGUCAUCCAACGGCUGGAUUAAAAUUUAAAUGGCUGCUGCGCGCUUCUUCUAUGAACUAACAUCUUUCUUCACAUUCUUAUCUCAGCACAAUUUUCUGGACAAUCCCUUUGUGGUUAGACAGUUUUUCUGACCCCCUUCACUACCCUACCUUAAUUUCUUGUUAAAAAUUUUCCCUGCUGUGAAAACCAGAAACUUUAUUCCAUCCCCCAACGAAAUCUUAACUUAGAAAGAGCAGUUGUAACAACGAUUUGACUGGGAGAAGAAAGAAAUAACGGCACCGUUGAGCUACUCAGCAGUACUCUUUCAUUUGCAGUCCUUUUGCUUAAAUGUUCAACUUUUGUCAGAGAUGGAAGCUGUUUGGAGCAGAAAUUCUGCUCUCCUUUUUGUUGAAAACUUGUAACACUAAUUCCUCAUGGAAGUUGUUCUAAAUUUAAAUGAGAAGCAAACCAUAACCUGAAAUAAUUUUGAUUAAGAGAUAGCAAUCACUCCAGACCAUUCGUAGCAGUUUUGGCUCUAAGUUACCUAGAUUCUUGUUUGAGAUAGAUCAAAAAUACUCCCAAAAUAAACUUCCCCGCAGUAUUUCUGUUAAAAUUAUAAAAAGAGCUGGAGAUGAGAAAUCUUCGAAGUCUGUGCACCAAGACAAGGGGUCAAAGUGCUCGUACAGAUUGAUAGAGAAUUCAUGUUUUAUCAGUGACAUUGCAAUUACAGAGGUUUGAUUUCUGUUUGUAGGACAAGGUCCUCUCACUGAUGGAGAACCCACCAGGCAUAGAAAGAAAGGGAUCUUUGUCUGAGCAACAGCACAUGACAGGCAUCCUCGGGACUGGCAGUGGCCCCGCUCCGCUCCUGUGAGCGCAGCCCCCCAUCAGUCCUCCCAGCUCCUUGCCAAGGGAACAAGGCACCAGCCUCUGAAAGAGUGGGCUGUGUUCACAGUCAAAAUAUAUAUAUAAAUUCAAGAAGAGAAAAUGCAGCCUCCCCGGGUGGUGCUCAGCCAGGCUGUACUCAGAACAAGCCAGUUUCUGAAUUACAGUGGGUAUCUUUCUCAGGGCUUAAGGGUUCUCAAAGGAAACGCUGGUUGUUUGUUUUUUUCCUCAGACGUUUCAAUGGGAAAGUUAAAAAUAAAUGAAACAAAGCCUUUUGGCUGCUGCUGUUUCAGCUGAUGCCUCCUUUAGCAAAACACAAACCUGAAUAUGUGCCUGAGAGCCCUUAGCAAGAGAAAAUGGGCUUCUCCAUGCAAGAUUUUACACAUGCAGUCUUCCUUCCUUAUGAGUGAGUAACGUUUUGCUUCUGCACACUUGUGUUUCCCAGGUACAAGUAAACACUUAAAAUAGCUCUUCUGCACAGCAGGAAAUAGCGUAUCAAGCCUAAGCUCUGCAAGGCCACUUGGGGAGAGUUUAUAAAUGCUUUCAGAACUGGUGCAAUAGAAUCCCAGGUGGAUGGCACCAUGCAAGGGAAUCCUCUGCCAGACCCAGGGACAGCGUUGCACCUGGAGAAGAAUGGGCAGCCAACUAGAGGAAAAGGGUCUAGGGAAAAGAAGGUAAACAGGACUGAUCCGAAGCUUAAAGGAACAGUCUUAGCCCAGUUAGGCUCUACAGGGAAUAGAUGAACAAAUAAAAAGCUGAAACAAUAGAAAUCCGGGAAAGAAAGUAAUCUCCUUGGCGUUAAAAUUGUAUUGAAUUCCUGGUUUUAUCUCAAGAGGGAGGCACAGAACAUACUGGCUAGGCACAAAACAAUGUUGGAGGAGACUGAAGGGAGUGGAGAUGAUUUCCAGGAGAAACACCAGCAGGCAGGGAGUGGAGGUAAAAGAACCCAACCACAACACAGUCUGCCCAAAGAAAUUCAACUCAGUUCUUGCAGAGAGUAGAAAUAUAGCUGUCCCUCCAAGGCAGAAUCCAAAGGAGGGUCCAGAGAGGCUGAUUGCUAUUAGGUACAGGGUUAGCAGAAAAUGCUCCUGCAUGGACGUGCUUCCCGAGGUGCUAUAGGAAGAAAGGCUGAACUCUACCUUUAUAGGUGGUCCAAAAAGAAGCAAGUAAUUAGUGGAGGAAGCAAAUGGCAGCACCGUGUUUUGAAAUUCCUCUCAUACCAAGUAGUUUCCUGUGGUUUUGGAAGAAUGGAGUGGCACAAGUGCCAUUAAUAAAAAGCACUCUGCAAUCAGAGAUCAUGUAAGGAUGAAUUCAAUAUUGUCCUUAGGCAUUUCACAGGAAGUCAGAACAAGUUUUUGAUGGUAUAAUGGAUAAGAGGAUUUACAUGCAGGAUAUUUUAAUAAAAGAUGAAACAGAAGAGCAUAGCCAAAGGCUGCUGCCCUAAUGGUCAAGGGAGGGGCACAAAGUCAAUUGUUCUGCAAAAUCUAUCACAUUGCCCAAAAUUUCAGUCUGAGAGUAUCUGAGAACACCCUGUGAGUGGAUGUCCAGGGAUGGAUAACCCACAAAAGAUGUAAACUGUAACAGAUUUCUUGAGAUUCUCAUAGUUGAUGAGAAUCUGAAGACUGGGACUGAGAUGACAAUUUGGACAGAACUAAUUCAUCCACAGACAUCCCCAGGGAUUCACCUAGAUCCUCCACAGCUUUACAUCUAAAGCUGGAAGGUGACAUCUUCUACGUUAUGCACAUUAAAAAAAAAAAAAAAAAAAAAGAAAAAGAAAAACAAAACAAAAAUGCUAGAAAUCAGCAUGGUCAAGAAGAGCCUUAGCCUAUAGAUUGUCGGUAUACAACUUGCUGCUAAUAAAAAAAUGGCCCCAGAAAAUCAUUUUCAUCCUAGUUGUACUCUCCUAUAGCUAAAGUUUAGGAACCACAAAUGGAAAAGGAGCUCAGAAAAAGAUUGGUCAUUAUUUAUAUUACUUUUUACCCUUCAAAAUACAGAGUAUCCAAAGGCACAGUCUCAGAAUAUCGUAUGAAGAGAAAAAAUAUCUGCCCAGAUAUGAUUACUCUGGAGACAAAGGUACUGUUAACACAUUUCCUAUUUGCAUAUGGAGACUGGAUCAAAAAUGGAUAAGCAUCAUUCUUUGGUUCUGGAGGAGGUCUUUGAGCAAACUACAUUUGGGAAAUUUUUUCAAAAGCAGCCUUUGCCGCCCAAAUAAUAAAUAAUAUACAGGCCUAUUUAAAAAGGAAGAAGGAAAAAGAAUUUUUCAGAAUGAAAUAUGAACAACACCUAUCACAGAUCCUGCUGAGGACAAGACCAUGUGCAAAGCCCAUCAGUCUACUAGCACAGGGUCUGUGACAACGUGAUCCUGGCACUGCUAUCCAGGUAAGGGAGAGCACUCGGUGUGAGACAGAGCUCUGUUCAGAGACAUGGAACAGUGAUUAGUGGGAAGAAAGGGUUAUAUAACAGUCACAUUGUUUGGGUACUGAAAAAUCCAGAAGGUCCAUACGUAUUUUACAGCAAGCUCAUAUGAAAAUCAGCACUGUAGGAGCUUUUAAAGGUUCACAGCACAUACCAAAAUCUGAUUGAAUUGAGCAAGGGAGGCCGUGGGAAAUUGCAUAGGUCUCCAACUCUCCUUUUCUUACACCCAAGCAGAAGAGAAGGACUCCUUAUUUACCUGAAUCGGGGAUUUACUCACAUCAUUUGGCAAGAUAGCAUUGCCACCAGUGGCACUGCCUUGUCAUGGACUGUAAACCUCUUGGAAACAGCUCAUUUAUGAACUCAUGCCCUCAAUUCCCUGAGACAGCCUCACUACUGCUAACCCUGUACUUAUAUACAUCAAAUCCAUCUCUGCCAGAUAGGGUCAGUCUGACGGAAUAGAGCAGAUAGCUACAUUUGAACAUGCAAGAUGUUAUGCAGUUCAUGAGGCAGGACUUGAAACACAGCUCCCUUGCCUCAUUACCCCUGAGAUCAACACAUCAGUAGAACAGUGCCAGAACAACACAGCACCAGUGUACAUGGAGUCAAACCCAGACUGUGCUAUAUUUUGUGUGGGUAUUCACAGGAAGGAUCAAGCCACAUUGCAGGAGGGGGCACCUGGCCACCACUCUGUCCAAGGAGACUUGGGGCAGGCAGAGGUCACAGGAAGAGGGGAUAGCUGAUCCUGGUAAGGGGUCACAGCUGAACUAACAUCAAGCGGGCUCUGUGUCACCAUGAAUUCCCUUCAGAGACCUUCAGAUGCUUUUCAUUUCCUUUCAAAUGUAUGCCCUGGGUUCACGCUGGUUGCUUGGAGAAGAAGGGAAGGGUGCCAAUCAGUGCACCAUCAAGCUUGUGCCGGUUAGAGUGGGGUACCAUGCUGGGCUCUCCUGUGCAUAAGGCUAAAACUCACUGGGCACAGGAGCACAUCUGGCUCCUUGUUCAACCAUCCUCAAGUGGCCACCAGCUCCUCCUGCUUACGACUACCUGCUUGCCUUCCCAAACACAAGACUUGGCCAGGCUGCGUCCAGGGCACAAAGGCAGCCAGUCUUCCUCCCUAAUCAGUCUCCAGCUGUGGGGUAUUCCUCCUCCUCCCUCCAAAAUCCCACAGCAGUCUAGCAGACAUGGAGAACAGCGGGGCUGGCUAGCCCCAGGCUUCCUGGCCCUACAAGAGGAAGGCGGCAAGCCCUCUUACACCAUCCUUCAAUAAUUUGCUAGACAGGCACUAACAGCUUCCCCUUCUGUUGCAACAAGCAAGUCAAAAACAGUACAGACAGAAGCAUCCAUCUCUGACAUUCCUGCAGGUUUUCUGUAAUGGAUCACUUUUGAUUAAUUAGACAAGCAAGUUUGAAAUAGCCUGCAGGAUACUUGGUGUGUGCCUGCAUCUCAGAUUGAAACAGGAAACUGAAUGUCUAUAAAGCACGAACAAAAAAGCUUUGCACUUACUGUUUCCCCUUUCACAGGGGUACUCAUUCCUCUGCUAUCCAUACAGAAAAGAAAAAAUGAUCUAAUACAUUUUUGUUAUUGUGCUAGACAAAACUCUUUUGACUCUUGGACUUGUGAGCGUAGAGCCAUUGCCUGACAAAAAGUAACACAAACAUACUGCAUACAGCUUCUCCUGUAGGUUUACUGCUUAGGGUUUUGUCUGUAAGAAACUGAUCCAGGCUACUGGCUUCCUAUAACUUGGUACCAUUUCCACAGCUGAAUGCUGCUUGUUAAGUGCAGAUCAUUGCUGACAAUUCCCACAGUUGUACAAUGCUGAAUGUGGUACCAAACUCAGCCUCCCAUGCAACACCAAUUCUGGAUAAGCACUGUGAAGAAAACUGCUCAAGAUGCUCACUGGGAGACUUUUUAUUAAUGUUAUACACUAUCCAGGACACAAGAACUCAAAAUACUCUUAAAGACAGUAACUUUCUCCAUUUUUUUUCUCAGGAAUUAUUCUAAGGCCUUGCACACUUUCCCACGCUUGCAGAUUGCAGGUUAUAAAUGCGUGGGAGUAAUGCAGUUUCGAUCAGUCAGGUAGGCUGGGUUUCUGUUAGCUGGCUGCAUACCUUUGAGCCCUAUCAGCACACAGUGAUCAGUGGAAUUCCUGGCAUUUUUGUCAUAGCAAUAGAGGCAGUACUUUACAGAGUAAAUACCAAUGACCUGCUGUUCUGUCAGGGUUCUGUACUUACCUUUUAUUUUCAAGUCAAAGGUUAGGCCUAUUUAUGUAAAUCCUCAGCCAUGGGCCAAGUAAUCUGACCUCCUGGUUUUCAUUCUCCUAAUUGUUUCAGGUAUUUUUCUUGAAAAGUUUGGUCAGUUAAAGCUAGGGAUUUUUUUAAGGUUCCUUUGAAGGGCUCUAGGGGCUUUCAUAGCCCACCCAGUUUGCAAAGUAGAAACAUCAGUGACCUGAUGCCCUGGGCACUUAUUUAAAAUUCAUUACUAGGAAAUAAGGUUUUGAUAUAUAGCCCCUCCAUUCUAAAGAAAAUCUGAGGGAACACAUGCAUACUGUUUUUUACUUUGGAUUAUGUGAUCUCCAAAGCCACAUAGAGAUGCAAUAAUCAAUUAUACUGCUGUUUGCCCUCCAUUUCUAAGAAGAACAUUAUUCAGCUGUAGAUAGUUUCAACUUUCCACAUGCUGGCCACUGCUUACAAUUCCUUUGUUACUUCACACAUUGUCAUGUCAUUUUAUUCAUGAAAGGGUGUCCAAAGAUCCAUAAUAUGAAAAAGAAACCUUUCAGUUUUCCAACCAUUUCUCUGAGAUUCAGCGCCGUUUAUAUUAUAAGACUAAAAAGCAAGAGGAAUAUCUUCUGAAUAAGAGUGAAACACAGCUAGUUUACUCUCACACAAAAGAGUAUACCUAAUCUAGAUUUUGUCCCACAACCCAUGAGCAUAGAAGUAACGUAUUUUCAAUGUGACCCAGACCAGCAAUAGAAAACUCCUUUUUGGGAAUUAUUCUUACAUCUUUUUAUGUAUAUUAGAACUUGAAUCCCUUAUCAGAUCGUUACUUCCUCUUCUGACCAUUGAUAAUAAAGUAUAUGCUAUUGCAAUUCAACAUUUACUUCUGCCCUGUUCUUGCUCCCAUUAAAUGUCACUUUAAGGUACACAGAGAAAAAGGAUAAUGAAUUUAAGCAGAAUAUAUUCUUUAAACGGUACUUUUACUAGAGCUCAUGCUGUCAUCUGAAAGCAGCAAGUCUGAACUGGAAUCUGGCUUCUGCAUUUUAGGCCUGUGGGGACUAAAUGCACAAUCAGCUGAAGUUUCAGCUUCUGGGACAUUCAUUAUAUGGCUAAUUCUCUAGGUGUAUUCCUUUUAAUUAUUGGACUAGUCAUUUGUCUGCUCCAGGUAAAAGAUGGAGAGCAAGAAACCAGGCUAAGUGAAAAGCACCAUUUACAUUCUUCAUUGCUGCAUGCUAUUGCCUUGAAUUACAAUGUUCAUUUUUUCAACCCUCAGGUAACUACAGCCUCAUUCUGAGGAGAAAAAAAAAAAUAUUUCGUGCAUCUCAUACUCAGCAACAAAGGAACACUGAGAAAACAUUAAGGAAGGAAGGUCACACACCUCCAUUUGAAACUGCUGGUAGCUAAGAAAUAUAGGUUAGGCUGGAUUUAACUGAAAUUGCUAAAGCAAACAGAUGAGAGACAGAGGCUUAAAAUAAUGAUACUGACCAUCAGGUGGAAAUAGAAGUCAAACUGCCAGGAAAGGUGAAAUUACAGGCAGCCUUGCAGGCCUUUGCAAAAUGUGGAGAUCACAUUCAGGAAAGAAAUUGUUUCUUGGUACUUCUCCCCACCUCUUACCAUCUCACAAGACACUUCCCUUGAUCAUCUACAAUUACUUAACAUCUCUGCAGCAGCUACAACUAUUAAUUGCACAACAAAUUCUGAAAAUAAUUUGGUUUUGUUAGAAGUGAAGGAGUUAGCAUCAUUUGGCAAGAGGACUUCCCAGUGAAUACAGUUUGAGACUGCUCUAAGUACUGCUUCCUACCAGAAAUCUCCAAAUACAUAUCUUCGUAUAUAUAUAUAUCUGCAAUAUCCUGAGUUGGAAGGGACCCACAAGAAUCACUGAGUCCAGCUCCUGGUUCCACACAGGACCACACAAAAAUCAAACCUUAAGUCUGAAAACAUAGUCCAGACACUCCUUGAACUCUGGCACUUGAGGUUAUGCCCACUGCCCUCUGGUGCAGACCCUGUCCCUAACCCCCAGCUGCCCCUCCCCUUGUGCCCUGUCGCUGUCACAGAGAGCAGAGCUCAGCGCUGCCCCUCCGCUCCCUGUGAGGAGCCGCCAUUAGGCCUCCCCUCAACUCCUCUGCUCCGGGCUGAGCACACCGAGAGGCCUCAGCCACUCCUCAUACAUCUUCCCUUCUAGACCCCUCCCCAUCUUUGUUACCCUCCUUUGAACGCUAACAGCUUUAUUUCUUACAUCGCGGCACCCAAACGCGCACCCAGUGCUGCAGGUGAGGCCGCACAGUGCAGAGCAGAGGGCAGCAGUGCUGGGCCUGGUGCCCCUUGGGUACAGUUGUCCCUUUGGCUCCAGGGCACACUGCUGGCCCAGGUACAGCUUGCCAUCAGACAGAACCCCCAGAUUCCUUUCCAUGGGGAUGCUCUCCAGUCUUUCAUCCCCUAGAAUGUUCAUAUAUCCAGGGUUACCCUGCCCGAGGUGCUGAGUCUGGUACUUGAAGUUGUUGAACUUCAUCCACUUGGUGACUGCCCAGUCUUCUAAUUGGUCAAGAUAUCUCUUCAAGACCUUUCUAACCUUGAGGGACUUUACAGCUGUUCCCAAUUUAGUGUCAUCUGCAAAGUUAGUAAACCUUCAAGUAUUUCUCUUUGUUAUAUCUUAAGUGCACCUUCAAGUGUAUCUCUCUAUACUCCUUUGUUGGCUUGACCUGAGCAGGAGCUGUCAGAGCGGUAGGAUUUAAACUUUCGAAGACAAGAUUCGUAGCAUUUUCACAAACCCAGGUGGAUGAAUCAGGCUGCUGGGUGCAAAGCCCAGACUUCCCAACCACAGACUAAUUUUGAAGGAGAAUGCAGGUCCAACAGCAUGCAGAUGUACUACAAAAUAGUUUCAAUUAAAGAGUCUAUACUCAGAUAAAUUUGGAUAUAAAAUACAUAGAAGGACAGGAGGUCAGUGAGUCAGAAGUAAGGGUAAGUGGCUAUGGACUGAGGUCCCCCAAGAUCCCAAUGAGUCAAAGUCCCGCCAUCUCCUUUCCCACCUCACCACAAAUUCCAGCUAGCUUUUCCAUGUCAGUGCUGGGCCUUGCUGUGACCCUUCUGUGAGCUGAUUUGGGGAGUUAAACCAGGUAAAAAGUAAUUCUGCAGAAAAAGCAUUAGGCUUCAAUCAGCUUAGCUCCCUGAACGGGACUCAUGACAAGAUCAGACAAAUACCAGAGCUGGCAAUGAGACAGGGCACAAGAUGUGGGACCAAACGGAGGUAGAUCCAAAUUAGAUAGAUCUAAACCUUCUUGGGCAUGUGCCCCUAGACAAAGAGCUCAGCUAGUCUGUAUAGAAUCAGAAGCAUGAAAAAAUCACCCAAGCUACUCACAUUUCUUUUUACACAGCAAGCCUCUCCUUCAGAAAAGAAGAGUGCAUGAGCACAUAUCUUUCUGAGGCAAUAAGCAUUUUUUCCUCCAUACAGGAAAAAGGACAUCUUAUUCUGUCCACCUCUCAAACACCACUACCAGCUAAACCUACAAUCUGCUUAACCCUAAUUUUUUGUACUGGGCCCCUAACAAGAUAUAAGAGCUGAACUCUAAGAGCUGUUCAGCAGGGCUUGAACAGCUGAUCAGAUCUCCGCCAACUUUUACUGGCUUGCUGAAAGACAAAAAGAACAUUCCAGUUCAGCUCAAUUGGACUAGCUAAACCACAGCAUUCCCAAUUGAGUCCAGCAGGUUUUGACUCAGAGCUAUUGUUCUUAAGCACAUGGUAGACAAAACUCUUACUUGCUUCUUUUUUUUUUUCUUUUCCUGUUGUGUUGUUUUGUUUUGUUUUAAAGUAUUGCCCCUCAUUUCUCUCCCAUUCCUGGUAACGCUUCACAAGAUUUUAUUUUUUAAACACAAGGCUCUUGGAACCAACAAUUCUACAGAUAUUUCCACUUCCCUCUGUAGAGUGUCCUUUUCUCUUUAGAGACAGAGAUCCUGUACCACAUUUGACUAAAAAAUAUAUGAUCCCUGAAAGCAUCUUGGCCUUACUCCAGAAAUGCAAACUGUUUUGUUUAAUGUCCGUGUAACACUGUCUAGAAGUCACAGAUAGAAACAUGAGUAAUUUUCCAUUGAUAACUCAUUUACCAGUAAAAACUUUUUAAUGUACUUAUCUCAAAUGUCCAUCUCCUUACUCUUACUCUUUCACAAGGCUUUGGAUUUUGUUAUAUGCAACCUAGACACAAGUAUAAUGCAACCAGCAGCCUAGCCAUUGACUUGGUUAUCUUGGUUAAAACAUCAUGGCGCACGAAUUCCUAGUGCACCUUGUUCCUAGUGGGCCUUGUUCUAUAGCCGUCCAGAUCAGUGUACUCACUGCAUCUCAGCUCCAUCACUGCCUCUAUGCAUCCAGAUUUUCUUCUCAGGAAAUGCACAGCAUGCACUGGUAUGAUGCAGGUUGGCACGUCCCCACAAGCGGAGGCAUAGCCAGAAGUCAUAGCUGUCCAGUGUAUGCUGCAGUGUACAGACAGUCCUUGUGUUUGGGACAAACAUUUUCUCUCAGAGAAGGUGUGAGGAUAGCACAAGUGAAAAUGCCCAUGCAAGCUUGCAUAGAAGCUCAAUCCCAAAAUGCUACUCAGCCUCUCUGAGCUCUUGAUCUAACCACCCUCCUUAAAUCCACAUGCCAUUCCACUCUUUCACUCUGACACAGUCUGAACAACCAACCUGGGCUUUAACCAGAAAUGCAUGUGCAGGAGAAAUAGAAGGUUUUCCAGCCCUAUCUCUGCUCUGCUUGGUUAGGGUGUGAACUGAGGCUUCAUGCUCAGGGGAAAUACCUGGGUCACAGCCAGUGAUGGAGAGAACCUACUUCAAUAUCCUUGGGAAUCACUUUUACUCUCCAUUUGUUACUCAAGAGCUAGGCUCAGGCAGCUGUAUUACUGCGAUAUUGCAACUGUCCCAGUAAAAUCUGCCAGCUCCAACUGAUCUUGUUACCCCUGGGGCUAUUCACCCCUUCUUGCUGGGCUGCUGGCAUGGGAAAAGACAGAGCAUCUCGGCAAGCCGCACGAGGCAAUCCUUGCCCUUUGGUACAUGCGCAGGAUCAGCCCAUUACAGAGAGCUAUUUCAGCAUACACAACACAAUUACGUCAAUAUCAAGAAACAUUGGAUUUCUCACCAACGUAAUUCCAUCAAAUCAAGAAAAAUAUCCUAUUUGCUAUAGCAGUAAAUUGACUCCCUUCCCCUCACAACAUGGCAUUAACCUUCUCUGCUCCAGAAAUCCUUUGAAUGAAUUUCUGGUAGCAGCUAAUUAAGAAGCUUCUUAACUAGCUGUAUGACUGGACCAAGUAAAAUAAAGAGUAUCACUGCUACAGAUGUGAAUCAUUAUUUGGAUUUCUGAAGUAGGCAAUCACAUUUUUAGAUGUGUACAUUUUUACUUCCAUGUACUUAUCUAUUACACAAAGCCUUCAUGCGUGUGUGUAUGGAGAGAAUGACACACCUUCUGAAUUCAAAAUUCAGAUGGCAAGUAGAUGCUGAAUAAUUUUUAACCUCUUAAAAAUGCUCUUUCCAUAAACUUGGUACAAGUGUUUCAGGAUUCGCCCAGGGAGGACAGACUAAGGGAGAUUUUUGCUACCCUGGCCUCUGUUGACAAAGUAACAGCUCUGGACCCUCUCAACUGAAGUAUUUCAGUUAAAAGCAGCUCCAGUUUUGAAGUUUACAAUCAAAGAAAAUACUAAGUAUUUUAAAAUAUAGGAGACAGGCCAACCCUCACUGGAUGACUUUGGAUAUUUCAGUUUCCUGCUGAAAAGCUUUGUAUCUGCUCAUGUUUACAACUCCUAAAAUGAAGCAGAUUCAGAAGUUGAAGUCUGGUCUGGAUGGCAGCUAUAAGUGCUUGAAAUGCAACUUGAGUGAACCCUAGAGGUGCAAUGUAUGGAAGAUACCUUCCUCAGUAGCAACUGAAAACACUGUGUGCAUGUUAGAAAAAAGAUGCAGUCCUUGUUCUUUGAAUACCAUUUCAAAAGCAUUUUUUCAUAUAAGAAUUUAAUGAAAAAUUUUGUGAAAAUAAGAGAAAUUGCAGUUUAUUUGCUGGGACCUGGUGGAACUACAGCACUGCACAGAUAUAUUCUGUUCUAAUUAUAAAGAGACAGAAUGUGUCUUCAAAAAUGUCUUCCGCCAUCCAUUAGCAUAUAAGCAUGAUUUACACUCUCUUACUAAGAACAGAGCCUCAUUUUUCUAAGAUAUCAUUCCAACUCCUUGCAAGAGAAAUUCCUCCCUAUUUACUUCCUUCUUAAACAAAUAAAUAAAGCAAAGGGAGAGAAUUUUUCUACAUUUAUUUUCCUAUCUAGGUGUGGAUUAAUUGAUUUAAACUGAUAGGCCAGAGGCAAAUUUUUGGAUUUCUAUGGUCUUACCCUUCAAAUCUUAGUUUAUACAAAAUGAAUGAGAGAAUGCAGGUCCACUUCAGUCAUCAGGAUUUGGGGGGGAAGGGAGAAAUCAAGAUCAUUUUCUAAGGUCUGGGUUUGAUUCAUCUCAGAGGCAAAUUAGUUUUCUUUCAAUCUCACAAGGCAAGGUGUAGAACUAUUCCAUCACUGGUCUCCUUUUAAAAGGAUUUCAGUGAGAGAUAUGAACUGUGCCUUCAUUUUCAAUCCAUAGAAGAGCUACAGAAGUGUUUCUUUAAAGGAAAGAGGCGUUAAGAAACGUUAUUGAAAUGUGGGAAAAUAAAUAACUUUUAUCCCUCGUGAUCAAUAUCACUAAAGGCAAGGAUAUUGUCAGAAGCAUAAAUCUGAGACAGAGCUCAAACUCCCCCUGUUGGCAUCUGGUAGGGAAGCAGGGCAAUACCUGAACACCAUCUCUCUUGUGUCUUCACAAAUCAAAUGGGAUUUAUUUAAAAUGAACAGGUACAAAUCUUCAGUUAUUUGUUCUUCAGUGACAGUCAGAGAGGAGAGAGAAAGCAGUCAGAUUCUCUAAAAUCUGUGCCAUUGUUUCUCCCUGCUCUUUGUGCUUGGCAAACCUUGGGAUAUGUGCAUGGAAUACAUCCACGUAACUCUGCAGGCUGAUUAAGAGAAGCUGAAAAAUAAGGAGAAUUAACCACAGGGUACAGUUCAGUAGAAGAAUAAAACAUUAAAGAAAAUAAAGAGCCUCAAGCCAUCCUGGGAGUCUGAAGAGGAGGGAGUAAGACCUGCUCAGUAGAGAUGACAGGUUGUGCUUUCGCUAAUAGCCUAUGAAUUUAUCCUUGAGUUCACAAGGCCGUGAUAACGCUAACCAUCAAUGCAUCCAUCAUUAAAAAUAAAUAAAUAAAUAAAUAAAUAAAAGCCAAAUAAAGAAAUUGAUCUAUGAAGAAGGUUACUAUCCAAUGGCAGACAAAAAUUUAAAAAGGAGGAAUUACAGAUAUUAGUCUAGCUAUGGGAAGAAAAUGACUAAAGUCAUGGAAUCCACCUAAUAAGCCCACUCACUUUAUGUCAGAGAAGCUACACAUCCUGGAAGGAUUUUUCAGGGACUGAGUUUCAGUCAUUCUACUGAAUGUAUUUGCUGUCAUUUGGAGCAAAAUCCUACAGUCUUCUUCUUUUUUUCUUUUUGCCUGUCAUAAUUAACUUCCCAGACUAUUUUUAUAGCUUUAUACAUGGAUUAGGGUUAGCACAGGCAGUACUGUUUGCCUGCAGACUGAAUAUAUGCUGACAUAUGCUGUGGGUCUUCUUGUUCCCUCCUUGUAUCUAAUGGUUUUACUAACUCACAAAAUUCAGAGGAAUGCAUCGAAGAAUGCCAAAGACAAGAACUAACAAGAAUGUCAGCACUACAGAGCCAACAUAACUAUGAGAAACUGGAGCCUAUUUGCCAUGUGGAUCACCAACACACGUCUGCUAACCCACUGAGUGUAGAAAUGUUACUUUUGACAUUGACGUCAAAGACAUACAGAUACUAUUUAAUGGUCAAGGCUGCCUAUCUUUAAGCUUGGCAUGUAGAAACGUAGACAGAUUGCUGUUCCGAAUGUGUUGUAGAAAUUAUUGUAGAAAAGUCCUCUUUAUAUAAAAUAACAUCACUGUGACAUGGCCGAGCGAGGAAUUCAUGUGACAACGGAAAGGGCUGAACAGCACAGUCUUGUGGUACAUGAGAUCUAAGAGCAAACAUCUCACUCCUUUCUAAUAAAAGGUGGGAGAAGAUAGAGGGUUGCCUUAAAAUAUAUCCAGCUUAUUCUUACCAAGGGAGGAAGCAUUUUGCAGUUUACAGUCAAAUUCUGUGCCUUAAUGCAUACUGAAUGCCUCAUUUCUCUGCAGCAGUUGUACUGAUCCAAGUGCAGGCCCUCAAGGAGAGAAGUGCUAUCCGCAAUGAGUACAGAUGGCAAAAUCUUGUUCUGCUGAAUUGACCCUGCGUUUCUACACUUCCUGCUGUAGCUAUGCUAUGGUAGCAGGAGGUCUGCUCUGAUCUCUCUUCUUGUGAAAUCAUUAUCCCUGGAAAAGCUAGCUAGUCAUUAAAUAUUAAAUAAAAUUAAACUCAGUACAUGUAGUUGUUCUGACAAUUCAUUUUACUGACAGCGGAAUUUUGUUCCCACUUUUUGAAGAAAAAUGUGAAGACACUACAGAAGUGUUUCAUCGCUUCACCAAGAAGCAAAUAUCCUUUCUGUCUGUUUACCCAGGGGAGGAAAAGUUAAUCACAUGCACACUACUCCACUAUGCUGUAUCAUGAGAAAGAAGCCAAGUUCAAGUAUCCAUCAUACUGCCAUAGUACCAGCAGAGACUUUCUCUCUUCAGUGCAACGCCCCUUAAACCUCUCCUCAACUCACGUUUGUGGAGGAAGGGGAUCAUGCACACAGGACAGGCAUCUGACACAGCCAUAAGGAACUCACCCAUUGCUCCCUUUGUUACGCCAUUUCUAAACUGAGCAAACAGCAUAUGCGCCAAUGACAAAAGUCUUAUUUUAAACAGCUAUUUGUCUUAUUUUAAAAAGCCAGUUCAGGGUAGGUCAUUUAAGAGAUUAUUUGGAAGUCUUACUAAGACCAUGGAGACUACAGGUAUGACAAAGACACUGGGGCAAAAUGCUAGGGGAUGGCAGCAGGCAUCUAGCAUAGGAAGUCGGAUCAUCUGCAUGUCCCUGGGGUAAAAGGCCCCUGCAAAGCAAUCAGUGACAGCCGGAUAUCCUUGGUUGGACAGAAGCUGUGGAACACGAAGUGUAGAGGCACAACGCAACACAGGUGGAAGCAUUCAUUUAGUCACUUAAGGUCAACUCAGAGGCAGAGGUUCUGCCAGGAUGUUGAUGUGCUAGAAAAAUGUCAUCCACAGGGCUGUGUGUCUCCAGUACCACUGGAAAGACACAGAAGAUUCCCCAUGGACAGCAAGGCUGCGGACAACACAUAGCAGCAAGCCCUAUGCCUACAUGGAAGCCGUUGGCCAGGAGUUGCCUUGCAGAUGUCAGCUCCAGCUCAGCAGGGUGACUGAGCACUGUGGGAUACUCAUAUAGUCCCAUGAAGCUGUUCUUCUGGGAAUCAGCAAUGAAGAACCAAGAGCAGCAACUUCUUAGACUGUGACAGCAGAAAUUCAGCAGUUUUGCUGUUGUCAUGAAGCUCUGUUCUGAGCAGCAGCACUUCAUCCCAAGAGAAGAAUAGCCACAAAAAUCUGGAAUGUGGUUUCACACCCAUUCAUGAGCUGUACACAAUGAGCAAAUAUCCUUUGAGCAUCUCUUACAUCCCUACACAAGAGUCCUAAGGCUACAACUGGCCUGGCCUUAAGACUCCCUCAGCAUCCACUCUUAUUUCUCAAAUAUGUUUAGAAAAAUAAGACCAAAUACCUCGUCCCUUUUUAGGAUCGCUUUGAAUGUUAAAGCAAGUUGGUCUUUAUUCCUUUAGAUCAAACUGUAUUUGUAGUUUCAUGGGAUUUUUUUUUCUUUUCUAAUGUACUCUCUGUAAAUGGCUUAACUUUACUUUCAGCCUUGAGUGCUUCUGUAGAAGCAUUUCAAAGUGAAAGAAUUUUUGAAAAAAAAAAAAAGUAAUUUUCUGGAGUGCUUCAAGAAAACUGAAAAUCACAUUAAGUGGCUUUGAAUUAUUGCAAUGUAUUAAAUGACUUCAAUGCUUAAAGAUGGAAUUUUUUCAAGGUUCUUCUAACUGUUCAAAGAGUGAAAUAUAUAGCAUAAUAGACCCUAAUGCUUUCACUAGUUCUUUAGUUUCAAAAUCAAGUGCUCUAAAUGAUUAUAAUGCUAUGUAAAAUCACUUUAUUCAUAAAAGGUGAAAUUCAUUCAUUCUGCAUAAAUCCUGACUCAUCAGUCAGGGCAGCAAGUGGGAAAUGGAAGAAAGUUAAACUGUACUGCUCAAAAUAAGCAGACUAGAGGAGUGAUUCAGAGUACUUAAAAUUAGGCUCCUGUUCUGAAUUGUCCCCUAGAGAAAUCUCUUUCUCCAAUAAUUUCAGAGGGAGUUUGAGAGGCAAGUGUCCCUUGACUGAAGUAAACCGUUGUGAACAAGCCCUUUCACUGAACCACCAGUUCACAAAUCCAUAAUAGCCUGCUUAUGGAUCCUCUAAUAUACAGCUUCAUCGUGAGGUUAAGGGAAAGAGAGGGCUUUUUUUCCACAGCUAGGAGGAAUUCUCAUUUUCCUGAAUGUUGCAAUCAUCCUUGAAAAACAUAGGAUACAAUCAGCAGGAAAAAAUAACUUUCAAACAAAAGAAAAAAGAGGGAAGAGAUGAACAAAUAAUAAAAAUUUCAGUGCCAAAGGACACUGCUCUUUGACUGUUGUCUGUGGCAGCAUGGCACACAAGACCUGCCUUUCCUUCUCAGUAAGUGAUGAAGAAAAACCUGCCUGCCAGUAUUUAUUCAUAUUUGAAA
rnacentral:lncRNA from 1 species